rnacentral:rRNA from 1 species
AACGAACGCUGGCGGCAGGCCUAACACAUGCAAGUCGAGCGAGAUCUUCGGGUCUAGCGGCGGACGGGUGAGUAACGCGUGGGAAUAUGCCUCUUGGUACGGAAUAGCCUCGGGAAACUGGGAGUAAUACCGUAUGUGCCCUUUGGGGGAAAGAUUUAUCGCCAAGGGAUUAGCCCGCGUUGGAUUAGGUAGUUGGUGGGGUAAUGGCCUACCAAGCCGACGAUCCAUAGCUGGUUUGAGAGGAUGAUCAGCCACACUGGGACUGAGACACGGCCCAGACUCCUACGGGAGGCAGCAGUGGGGAAUCUUAGACAAUGGGGGCAACCCUGAUCCAGCCAUGCCGCGUGAGUGAUGAAGGCCUUAGGGUUGUAAAGCUCUUUCAGCUGGGAAGAUAAUGACGGUACCAGCAGAAGAAGCCCCGGCUAACUCCGUG